UACGGAGGGUGCAAGCGUUAUCCGGAUUCACUGGGUUUAAAGGGCGCGUAGGCGGGUGCUCAAGUCCGGGGUGAAAUCCUCCAGCUCAACUGGAGAACUGCCUCGGAUACUGGGCGUCUCGAGUGUGGUAGGGGUAUGCGGAACUAUCGGUGGAGCGGUGAAAUGCGUUGAUAUCGAUAGGAACUCCGGUGGCGAAGGCGGCAUACUGGACCACCACUGACGCUGAUGCGCGAAAGCCAGGGGAGCAAACGGG
rnacentral:rRNA from 1 species